UGGGGUAUAGCUCAAUGGUAGAGUGUUUGCCUGGCAUGUACCAGGCAUUGGGUUCAAUAUCCAGCACUACAA
rnacentral:tRNA from 1 species